rnacentral:rRNA from 1 species
UACGUAGGGUGCGAGCGUUGUCCGGAAUUCUUGGGCGUAAAGAGCUCGUAGGCGGUUUGUCGCGUCGGCCGUGAAAACUUGGGGCUUAACCCCAAGCCUGCGGUCGAUACGGGCAGACUUGAGUUCGGCAGGGGAGACUGGAAUUCCUGGUGUAGCGGUGAAAUGCGCAGAUAUCAGGAGGAACACCGGUGGCGAAGGCGGGUCUCUGGGCCGAUACUGACGCUGAGGAGCGAAAGCGUGGGGAGCGAACAGG